rnacentral:rRNA from 1 species
GACGAACCGAGCGAACGUUGCUCGGAAUCACUGGGCUUAAGGGCGCGUAGGCGGGUGCUCAAGUCUGUGGUGAAAUCCUCCGGCUCAACCGGAGAACUGCCAUGGAUACUGGGCGUCUCGAGUGUGGUAGGGGUAUGCGGAACUAUCGGUGGAGCGGUGAAAUGCGUUGAUAUCGAUAGGAACUCCGGUGGCGAAGGCGGCAUACUGGACCACCACUGACGCUGAUGCGCGAAAGCCAGGGGAGCAAACGGG